GGAAGGAUAAGCCGAGUCGGUCUAGCGGCAGCUGCCUUGAAAGCAGAGGGUCCAGAAAUGGGCGUGGGGGUUCGAGUCCCUCUCCUUCCGCCA
rnacentral:tRNA from 1 species